rnacentral:rRNA from 1 species
GACGAACGCUGGCGGCGUGCUUAACACAUGCAAGUCGAACGGAAAGGCCCUGCGUUUGUGGGGUUCUCGAGUGGCGAACGGGUGAGUAACACGUGAGUAACCUGCCCUUGACUUUGGGAUAACUUCAGGAAACUGGGGCUAAUACCCGAUAGGAGCUCCUGCUGCAUGGUGGGGGUUGGAAAGUUUCGGCGGUUGGGGAUGGACUCGCGGCUUAUCAGCUUGUUGGUGGGGUAGUGGCUUACCAAGGCUUCGACGGGUAGCCGGCCUGGGAGGGUGACCGGCGACAAUAGGACUGAGGUACGGCCCAGACUCCUACGGGAGGCAGCAGUGGGGAGUAUUGCACAGUGAGCGGAAGCCUGAUACAGCAACGCCGCGUGCGGAAUGACGGCCUUCGGGUUGUAAACCGCUUUCGCCUGUGACGAAGCGUGAGUGACGGUAAUGGGUAAAGAAGCACCGGCUAACUACGUG